GACGAACGCUGGCGGCGUGCUUAACACAUGCAAGUCGAACGGAAAGGCCCCUUUGGGGGUACUCGAGUGGCGAACGGGUGAGUAACACGUGAGUAACCUGCCCUUGACUUCGGGAUAACUUCAGGAAACUGGGGCUAAUACCGGAUAGGAAUCCUUGCUGCAUGGUGGGGGUUGGAAAGCUUCGGCGGUUUUGGAUGGACUCGCGGCUUAUCAGCUUGUUGGUGGGGUAUUGGCUUACCAAGGCUUUGACGGGUAGCCGGCCUGAGAGGGCGACCGGCCACAUUGGGACUGAGAUACGGCCCAGACUCCUACGGGAGGCAGCAGUGGGGAAUAUUGCACAAUGGGCGGAAGCCUGAUGCAGCAACGCCGCGUGCGGGAUGACGGCCUUCGGGUUGUAAACCGCUUUCAGCAGGGGCGAAGCUUGUGGUGACGGUACCUGCAGAAGAAGCACCGGCUAACUACGUG
rnacentral:rRNA from 1 species